GAUGAAGAACGCAGCGAAAUGCGAUAAGUAGUGUGAAUUGCAGAAUUCAGUGAAUCAUCGAGUCUUUGAACGCACAUUGCGCCCCCUGGUAUUCCGGGGGGCAUGCCUGUCCGAGCGUCAUUGCUGCCCUCAAGCACGGCUUGUGUGUUGGGCCCCGUCCUCCGAUCCCGGGGGACGGGCCCGAAAGGCAGCGGCGGCACCGCGUCCGGUCCUCGAGCGUAUGGGGCUUUGUCACCCGCUCUGUAGGCCCGGCCGGCGCUUGCCGAUCAACCCAAAUUUUUAUCCAGGUUGACCUCGGAUCAGGUAGGGAUACCCGCUGAACUUAAGCAUAUCAAUAAGCGGAGGA
rnacentral:misc_RNA from 1 species